GGGCUGUGAUGACAAACUUAGGACACCUUUGGAGGGCAAGCCUCAAUGAAAGGACUUUCUAUAGCCUUACUGAGCUCU
rnacentral:snoRNA from 1 species